rnacentral:lncRNA from 1 species
CUAUUCCAUUUAGCAUAAUAUAUUUCGGCUAAUUCAUGUUGUUCCACAUGACAUAGUUAAUUCUUUCUUUACAGCACAAUGAUAUCCUAUUGUAUGUGUCUGUGUGUAUCACAUUUUCUUUAUCCAUGUAUCUGUUGAUGGACAUAAAUUGUGUUUUAAUAAUUCACUUUCUCCCAAAAUAAUCAGAAUAGCUAUUGCCUCCAUUUUAGAAAAUGAUUAAAAGCACUUAAAGCAACUUUCCUGAGAUGCUCUUUGUUAUACAAUACCUAGUUUCCUGUCCUUGUUAUACUUUUAAAGAAAGGAUUGCUUUCUCUCUGAGUUCUUACCAUGGUAGGGCUGUUUUAAAAAAAAAAAAAAAGUCUUGUUUACAAAAUCAGUCAGCUGGCCAGAUUUGGCCUGUGGGCCAUAAUUUGCUG